UACUGGCUGGUGAACAAGUCCGUCCGCCGCUGAUAUUCCGACAGGACAGCGCUCGGGCUGAGGCGGCGGGACAGCUGGAGGAGCAUGAGUUGGCCCGGAGUGUCACACCACUGCUGUUCAGCUUCUCAGACAAAGAGGCACCCAAUCUGUGCACCAUGAGAGUUGGCAAAUCUGUCCAUGGCGAGAAUGCUCUCCCACAGUGGUGUAAGCGCUUCUCCU